AAGCAUAUCAAUAAGCGGAGGAAAAGAAACCAACAGGGAUUGCCCCAGUAACGGCGAGUGAAGCGGCAACAGCUCAAAUUUGAAAUCUGGCCCCAGGCCCGAGUUGUAAUUUGCAGAGGAUGCUUUUGGCGCGGUGCCUUCCGAGUUCCCUGGAACGGGACGCCAUAGAGGGUGAGAGCCCCGUACGGUUGGACACCAAGCCUUUGUAAAGCUCCUUCGACGAGUCGAGUAGUUUGGGAAUGCUGCUCAAAAUGGGAGGUAUAUUUCUUCUAAAGCUAAAUAUUGGCCAGAGACCGAUAGCGCACAAGUAGAGUGAUCGAAAGAUGAAAAGCACUUUGAAAAGAGGGUUAAACAGCACGUGAAAUUGUUGAAAGGGAAGCGCUUGUGACCAGACUUGCGCCCGGUGAAUCACCCAGCUCUCGCGGCUGGGGCACUUUGCCGGCACAGGCCAGCAUCAGCUCGCUGUCGGGGACAAAAGCUUCGGGAACGUAGCUCUCUUCGGGGAGUGUUAUAGCCCGUUGCAUAAUACCCUUCGGUGGGCUGAGGUACGCGCUCCGCAAGGAUGCUGGCGUAAUGGUCAUCAGCGACCCGUCUUGAAACACGGACCAAGGAGUCAACCUUAUGUGCGAGUGUUUGGGUGUCAAACCCCUACGCGUAAUGAAAGUGAACGCAGGUGAGAGCUUCGGCGCAUCAUCGACCGAUCCUGAUGUUCUCGGAUGGAUUUGAGUAAGAGCAUAUAGGGUUGGACCCGAAAGAAGGUGAACUAUGCGUGUAUAGGGUGAAGCCAGAGGAAACUCUGGUGGAGGCUCGCAGCGGUUCUGACGUGCAAAUCGAUCGUCAAAUAUGCGCAUGGGGGCGAAAGACUAAUCGAACCUUCUAGUAGCUGGUUUCCGCCGAAGUU
rnacentral:rRNA from 1 species